rnacentral:rRNA from 1 species
GAUGAACGCUGGCGGCGUGCCUAAUACAUGCAAGUCGAGCGAACAGACGAUGAGCUUUCGCUCCUGACGUUAGCGGCUGACGGACGAGUAACACGUGGAUCACCUUCUUCUAUUUCUUGGAUAAUUUCGUGAAACCGGUUCCACUACUAGCUCAUACGUUCUACCGCUUGGUUCAAUAGUUCUUGACGGCUUUCCUGCCUCUCUUAGCCGAUUUCGCGUCGCAUUAGUUAGUUGGUAAGGUAACGGCUUACCAAGGCAACGAUGCGUAGCUGACCUGAGAGGAUGAUCGGCCACACUGGAACUGAGACACGGUCCAGACUCCUACGGGAGGCAGCAGUAGGGAAUAUUGCACAAUGGGCGAAAGCCUGACGGAGCAACGCCGCGUGGGUGAAGAAGGUCUUCGGAUCGUAAAGCUCUGUUGUUGGGAAAGAACAGAUGUAGAAGUAAACAUGCACGUUCUGACGGUACCUAAACAGAAAGCAACGGCUAACUACGUG